UUUUGGACAAUGGGCGCAAGCCUGAUCCAGCCAUUCCGCGCGAGUGAAGAAGGCCUUCGGGUUGUAAAGCUCUUUCGCAAGGGAAGAAAGAUUACUCUCUAAUAUAGAGUGAUUAUGACGGUACCUUGAUAAGAAGCACCGGCUAACUACGUGCCAGCAGCCGCGGUAAUACGUAGGGUGCGAGCGUUAAUCGGAAUUACUGGGCGUAAAGCGUGCGCAGGCGGUUUUGUAAGUCAGAUGUGAAAUCCCCGAGCUCAACUUGGGAACUCGGUUUGAAACUACAAGACUAGAAUAGGUCAGAGGGGGGUAGAAUUCCACGUGUAGCAGUGAAAUGCGUAGAGAUGUGGAGGAAUAUCAAUGGCGAAGGCAGCCCCCUGGGAUCAUAUUGACGCUCAUGCACGAAA
rnacentral:rRNA from 1 species